rnacentral:rRNA from 1 species
AUUGAACGCUGUCGGCAGGCCUAACACAUGCAAGUCGAGCGGUAGCACAGAGAGCUUGCUCUCGGGUGACGAGCGGCGGACGGGUGAGUAAUGUCUGGGAAACUGCCUGAUGGAGGGGGAUAACUACUGGAAACGGUAGCUAAUACCGCAUAACGUCGCAAGACCAAAGUGGGGGACCUUCGGGCCUCAUGCCAUCAGAUGUGCCCAGAUGGGAUUAGCUAGUAGGUGGGGUAACGGCUCACCUAGGCGACGAUCCCUAGCUGGUCUGAGAGGAUGACCAGCCACACUGGAACUGAGACACGGUCCAGACUCCUACGGGAGGCAGCAGUGGGGAAUAUUGCACAAUGGGCGCAAGCCUGAUGCAGCCAUGCCGCGUGUGUGAAGAAGGCCUUCGGGUUGUAAAGCACUUUCAGCGGGGAGGAAGGCGGUGAGGUUAAUAACCUCAUCGAUUGACGUUACCCGCAGAAGAAGCACCGGCUAACUCCGUGCCAGCAGCCGCGGUAAUACGGAGGGUGCAAGCGUUAAUCGGAAUUACUGGGCGUAAAGCGCACGCAGGCGGUCUGUCAAGUCGGAUGUGAAAUCCCCGGGCUCAACCUGGGAACUGCAUUCGAAACUGGCAGGCUAGAGUCUUGUAGAGGGGGGUAGAAUUCCAGGUGUAGCGGUGAAAUGCGUAGAGAUCUGGAGGAAUACCGGUGGCGAAGGCGGCCCCCUGGACAAAGACUGACGCUCAGGUGCGAAAGCGUGGGGAGCAAACAGGAUUAGAUACCCUGGUAGUCCACGCCGUAAACGAUGUCGAUUUGGAGGUUGUGCCCUUGAGGCGUGGCUUCCGGAGCUAACGCGUUAAAUCGACCGCCUGGGGAGUACGGCCGCAAGGUUAAAACUCAAAUGAAUUGACGGGGGCCCGCACAAGCGGUGGAGCAUGUGGUUUAAUUCGAUGCAACGCGAAGAACCUUACCUGGUCUUGACAUCCACAGAACUUUCCAGAGAUGGAUUGGUGCCUUCGGGAACUGUGAGACAGGUGCUGCAUGGCUGUCGUCAGCUCGUGUUGUGAAAUGUUGGGUUAAGUCCCGCAACGAGCGCAACCCUUAUCCUUUGUUGCCAGCGGUCCGGCCGGGAACUCAAAGGAGACUGCCAGUGAUAAACUGGAGGAAGGUGGGGAUGACGUCAAGUCAUCAUGGCCCUUACGACCAGGGCUACACACGUGCUACAAUGGCAUAUACAAAGAGAAGCGACCUCGCGAGAGCAAGCGGACCUCAUAAAGUAUGUCGUAGUCCGGAUUGGAGUCUGCAACUCGACUCCAUGAAGUCGGAAUCGCUAGUAAUCGUAGAUCAGAAUGCUACGGUGAAUGCGUUCCCGGGCCU